UACGCAGGGGGCGAGCGUUGUUCGGAAUUAUUGGGCGUAAAGGGUGCGUAGGCGGUUUGGUAAGUCUUAUGUGAAAUCUACAGGCUCAACUUGUAGUCUGCAUGAGAAACUGCCGGGCUUGAGUAUGGGAGAGGUGAGUGGAAUUCCUGGUGUAGCGGUGAAAUGCGUAGAUAUCAGGAGGAACACCUGUGGCGAAAGCGGCUCACUGGACCAUAACUGACGCUGAUGCACGAAAGCUAGGGGAGCAAACAGG
rnacentral:rRNA from 1 species